rnacentral:rRNA from 1 species
UACAGAGGUCUCAAGCGUUGUUCGGAUUCAUUGGGCGUAAAGGGUGCGUAGGUGGCGCCGUAAGUCAGGUGUGAAAUUUCGGAGCUUAACUCCGAAACUGCAUUUGAUACUGCGGUGCGUUGAGGACUGGAGAGGAGAGACUGGAAGUUACGGUGUAGCAGUGAAAUGCGUAGAGAUCGUAAGGAAGACCAGGUGGCGAAGGCGGGUCUCUGGACAGUUC